AGAAGCAUCCCCCUCACCCCCUUCUUCCUCAUUCGAACCGAACGCAGCAGCGUCACCCCAUUCCUCAUUAUAACUGAACGCAGCAGAGGCGUCUCCGUCAUCUUCGUUUAACUCACCUCAGGCGAAACAUCUUCUUCCUCAUUUGAACCAAACGCAGCAGCAUCUCCAUCAUCUUUUUGCUCACCCCAGGCAAAACAUCUUCUUCCUCAUUCGAGCCGAACAUAGCACUGUCACCCCACUCCUCAUUCGAACGGUAAUCUUCCAUCGUCUACCCCUCAUCCCAACGAUAAUCUUCUUCCUAAUUCAAACCGAAAGCAGUAGCGUCUCCGUCGUAUUCUUGCUCACCCCAUUCGUCAUUCGAACCAAACCAGUAGCGUCUUCUUAAUCCUCAAAGAACCGAUCCAGCAGCGUCUUCUUCUUCCUCGAAGUUACCAUUCUUCCUCAUUUGAACCGAACGCAACAGUUUCACCCUCUUCUCUGUUUCUCAGAGCCGAAAGGUACAAUAUCUUUCCAUCCUCUUCUUCCCCAUUUCGAAACUACAGCAUUCACCCUCUUCUCCAUUUCUCAUUGUCGUUAAUCUCUGUUCCUUAGAGUCGUUAAUCACCGGAGGUUCAUCUCUCAUUGCCGGAGCUACAGUGUUUUCCCCAUUUUUCAUAGUUGUUAAUCACCGGAGCUUCGGAGCUUCAUCUCUCAUCAUCGGAGGUACAACGUGUUUUCUAGUGCUUUGAGUGUGAAAAAUGUUAGAUGACAAAGUUGGGACUAGGUGCUCCUCGAAACGGUUUAGGGAGAUGUUACAAAGUUUGUCUCUAAGUUUGAAGCACAAGAGAAGGCUCAAAGAGACUCCCUUUGGACACUUUUUGGAUUUGCCACAAGUGAUUGUUGAGAUGUCCCUAUUAAGUUAUUUAGUGAAAUUGUAGGACUUGACUAGGCAGUGUUUUAUAGUUGGUGAAGGAUUGUGCAAUUCAGCGAGGCUAAUGUUGCCCUGAUAACGGGUCUUGGCCUAUCGGGUAGUACAGUUUCCCUAUCGGAAGGCGUUGUUGGUAGUGGAUUGUUACAAAGAUCUUUUGGCUUUGAUCAAAAUCACUCUGCCUCUAUAGAGUUGGAUCUUGUGUGGAAUAGACUAAAGAAGAUUGUACGAUUAGAUGGUGAAGAGUACAUUGAGGAGGUGGUAAAGUAGAUUAUUCUGCUCUUGUUCAGUUAUGUGAUGUUUCCCCAAGGCAGUUCGAGGGGUGAGCUCUUUCUGGGCUGGAUACAAUGACGAUUUAUAGCGUAUUGGUGAUUAUGCUUGGGGUAAAUGUGUACAUCAAUUCUUGGUCGGUGGUCUUGAUCAGUUUUUUUCUAGUUAUGGUGUUGGAUUGCACAGAGGCUCAACCUUGUAUAGUGGUUGUCUAUUUGGAUGUAGUGCAGUGUUGAUGGCGUGGAUUACGAGCACACAACAUUAUUCAGUCCUUCAGUCCCUGAUGCCAGUCCUCGUUUGUUUAAGUGGGGGAAUAUGGGGUAUCAGUGGAAGUCGAAGAGGGCCAAUUUGUUGAAGAAAGCUAGGGCGGAAAUGGUUAUUGAGGGUUUGAACCCUACUAGUGAGGAGAUGGCCUUAGUGGAUGCUUGAUCAGAGGGCUGUGUAAAUUUUAAUUUUUUCCUUUAUAGUGGAGUCCUCUAUGUGAUCUAAGUACAUGGUAGAUAUUAACCUUUGGUGGACCGAGGGGGCCAUGGUGUGGGUGGGGAACCUUUUUAUAAUGGAAAGGAUGCUAGUCACGGGUAGCAAUGGCGUGGGAAAAAGGAAUUUUGCAAAUCUUGCAUGGAAUCCAUGGAAUAUCAAAUUCUAUGUACGGAGGCUAAAGAGUAUAACUACACAAAAAAGCAGAACGUGGAACUUUGUGAUGAAGUCAAUAGGCUUCAUAGAAUGAUGAAAAAUAAUGGGUUGGACCCUGAUGCAGUACCAUGUAGUGAUGGCCAUGAUGGUUUGGCAAGCUACUUGCCAAACGAUGAUGUGUUAGACAG